ensembl:lncRNA
AUGCUGAGUGUGUGGACUCACCUCCAGCUCGGACACAACGUCCUAAGACCAGCUCUGCCUCAGGGGCCCCUGGAGCUGGACGGCAGGAGGAGACAGGAGCGUGCUGCUCUCCAGCAGCCAUUCCUCCCAGACUCCUGGGCCUUGUCUCUUCCACCAUCACACUCCUUCCAUCACCUGCUGCAGCCCCAUACACCACCUGCACCCCUCCUUUACCCACUGCACCCCAUAUCCCACCACCCCCCCUUCCCUUACCCUCACCUCCCCUGUGUGCCACCUGCCUCCUCUUCCCUUACCUCCAUCAGCUUUGGGUUUUCCCUUCUUAGGGAAGAAAGGUUGUCACCUUCAGCACAGUGAAACUGUGGCAGGUGAUCUCCGUAGGGGGCUGAGCUGUACCCCUGGCCUCACCCCCUGGAUGCCAGAAGGACCCUCCACCCAGCUGUGACAACCAGAAGCAUCUCCAUACACUAGCAGUGCUCCCUGGGAAGAACCACCCCUGGCCAUAGACUGCAGUGUGCACGUUAUCUUCUCCCCGUGUGUCUUUCCAACACACUUCCCUUCCCAUUCUGAUGAUUCCCCAGCAUCUUUGACCAUUUCCUGUAUGUCAGAGACCCCUAAAAAUCCCAUCAAAACCAAAACAGCCCUCUGAUGCUGUGUAUACCCCAAGGCAUGCAGAAACAUGGCCUGAUUGUCCCUUUAGUUGUAUACCUUAGUGGGUGCCAAGGAGGAUGCCAGGGCCUGGAGAGUGAGGGGCAGAUCUUUUGCCAACAAAACCAAAAAUUGUCCACUGGUGUCUACCAAGUUCAAGACACAGCAUGAUAUAGUCAUGAGCAAGAAAAGACAGAUCUGUCCUGUGGGGAGCAAUCCGGACUAGACUAAGUUACUCGAAUUAAGACUUAUUCUAUGCAUCUGCUCUCCCACAAUAUGGCGCUGGGAGAGAAGUAAACAGCUUCCGCACAGCUGCCUCCAGUUCAACCAAUUAACUGUAGGACUUGCUCCUGAUUGGAGAGCAGCGUACUCGGCGUGUGGGCAGCCGAGUUGGGAUUGGCAGAGAAGGACUAUAAAGGAGGAGAGAAACGGCAUGCACCGGGGAACAUCUAUGGGGAACAUCUGAAGGAACGCCUGUGCAGCCCCCCAGAGAGCCGGCCGGCGGAGUGCCGCUCCCCUGCGGAAGUGGGGAAUGUGGCCAGGGGGAACUGCCCUUCCACGGAGGUGGAAGGGAUAGUAGCCAACCCGGGAAGAACCAGCAGAAAACCCGGGGAGGGCCGAGCAGACGAAAGAACAGCGCAGGGUUCAGUGUUGCUCCUCCACGAAGAGGGGGAGCGACAUAAUGGUGCCGUGACUCGGAUAGGAAACCUAGCUCGGAUAGGAAACCUAGGACGGAUAGCAAACUUAGGAGGGAAGAAACGGGAAGAACUGUGAAAAAUACCGGAGAGAGAGACUAGCAAACAGCCUAGGGAAAAGCCGGACGAAAAGGGUGCCGGAAGAAGCUAUUGAAAGCCUAGGCAUAGACUCGGAUUCGGACUACGGGGGGAAGCUGGGAGAAAUCUCUAAGGUCGAAAGCGAAAGUGAAAGCUAGAACAAACAGACUCGGAUGCAGACUGUGGGGAGAGGCCAGGAGAAAUGAGGGAGGAGUAUUGUUGGAAGAAAGCUUGGGGAAACAUACCGGGUAGAGAAAAAUGUUAGGGAAAUUGAAGCCGCGGGGGGCAGGCCGAGGCGGAAACGAAAGCCACUUUGGGGUUCUCAAGUUAGCCCGGGAAUAGGGGGCGAAAAGUUGAAACCAGAAGCUGAGACGUAAGCCAGAUUGGGAUCCGUCUGAUUAGCCCGGGGAGCAAAGGACGGGAAGCCAAAUCGUGGGGCGGAGACGUACGCUGGGUUGAAUUCGCCAGGCUAGCCCGGGGAACUUAGAUUGAAUCCUAGUGGCGGAGACGCAAGCUACGCUGUGUUACUCGCGGAAGCCGCCGCGUGCAGAGAGAGCACGGGGCGUGAAUAGAUAGGGAACGCUGGCGUAGGCCGUGGUUCAGACGCGAAAGGGUUAAGCGUGGAGACCGCGGAGCGCGCAAAGCCGAGCCGCGCAAAGCCGGGAAGCUGCGCAGAUGAGAGAGGCGCGCGGGCUGAAGCGGCGCAGAGCCGGGAACCCGCCGGUGGGGCGAGGUGCCGGAAAGCUGCGGGGAUAAGAGAAACAGAAGUUUAGAAGUAAAAGAGAAAUAGGAAUGUUGGCAGACAGAAGUAAAAUGGGAGAAAUAGAAAUGCCCGGAGAUAGAGAAAUAGAGAAAAAUGAGGCCUCCCCUCAACAUGCCAAUUAGAAGGCUUGGAUUCGGUCUGCCCGAUUAGUGAGGCGAUGAGUACCUGGGUGGCUAGCCGCAGGUCACCGAAGACAGGCACGAAUUAACAUCAGUAAAGCUUCCCCACAAUGCAACAAUAUUAAGCUUGGAUUCGGUCUGCCUGAAUUAAGGCGGUAAGCGCCAGCAAAGCUCGACCAGAGUAUGAGCUGCAGGUCACCGAAGAUAGGCACGAACCAACACUAAUAAGUCUCCCCCACAAUACGGCAAUGAGAAGGCUUGGAUUCGGUUUGCCUGAUAGGUUUUGUAAACACCUGCAGGCAGUUCUAGCAGAGCAGAGUAUGCGCUGCAGGGCACCGAACACAGGCACGCAUCAGCGCCUAAAAACCUCCUCACAACAUGGCGAAGAGAGGACCCGGAUUCGGUUUGCCUGAUGGAUAGGACUUGUAAGAGCCUGUGGCAACUCUAGUGUGUGCCGCGGGACACCGAAGACAGGCGCGUAUCAACGCCAAAAAUAAAAAGAAAGGGGGAUCUGUGGGGAGCA